AAAUGGCAACUAAGAGCAGCCCUCCACAGGAGAAGGAUUUCAUUUCAGAGGUCAAGUGCUACUACUAGCAGCUCAACUGCAGUACAAAAGGGCUGUUUCGUGGUCUAUACGUCGGAUAAAAUCCGCUUUGCUUUUCCAAUAAGUUACCUGAGCAACUCUGUUUUCCAAGAGCCCUUGAAGAUCUCUGAAGAAGAGUUUGGCCUCUCAACAGGUGGACCAAUCACGUUGCCAUUCGAUUCGGUUUUCUUGGAGUAUCUCAUCAAGUUGAUCGAACGGCGAAUGGACGGAGAUACAGAAAAGGCUCUGUUAAUGUCAAUCUCUAGUGCUAGACGAUGUUCUUCACUAUGCUCUUUGCAACUACAACAAAGUAGUACUACUCAACAGUUGUUUGUAUAUUAGAUUGUAGCAAAUUAUGUUCAUGUAAAGUCUAUAGUGUAUCAGAUAGACACAGAAAUACAAAUUAUUUUUCUCUCCUCAUCAAUAUCAAAUUUCUAUUACAACAAAAAACUUUUUCCCUGAAAAUAAUGAACACAAAGAAGCUAAUCAAGAUGGCCAAGAAAUGGCAACAAAGAGCAGCCCUUCACAGGAAAAGGAUCUCAUUCCAAAGGUCAAGUGCUACUACUAGCAGCUCAACGGUAGUGGAAAAGGGAUGUUUUGUGGUUUACACAGCAGAUAAAAUCCGCUUUGCUUUUCCGAUAAGUUACCUGAGCAGCUCUGUUUUCCAAGAGCUCUUGAAGAUCUCUGAAGAAGAAUUCGGUCUCCCAACCGGUGGACCAAUCACAUUACCAUUCGACUCGAUUUUCUUGGAGUAUCUCAUCAAAUUGCUCCAACGACGAAUAGAUGAAGACACAGAAAAGGCACUGUUAAUGUCAAUCUGUAGUUCUAGAUGUUCUUCACAAUGCUCUUUGCAACAGCAAGAACAGAGUAGACACUUGCUUGUAUUUUAGAGAAUCAGAGUGUAGCAAUUUAUGUGUUUGUAAAGAUUCUACUGUUUUAGAUAGACAGAUCAUUUCAGAAACUCAACUAUCAUUUUUGUCUCUCUUUUGGACUUGCCUCAUCAAUAUGAAAAUCAACUUCAGUAUCACUUGUUGUCACAGUUUUAUCAUAUGGUCUGAAGAACAAUCCUUGUACCAUUUUACUGACAUUUUACAACUCCUUUUAGCACACAUAUAUUCUGAGACUGUAUAUCAAAAAAAUGGUGAGGCAGACGUAAAAUUGUUCUCACCAAGUUUUAUCGAAUGUCCUUAAAUCAACCAUCUGGAACAAGAAAUCUGUAAAAAGGCACACAUAUACUGCACAAGAAUGGUUGAUUCACUGUCUAUUUUUUCUGGUGAGAGAAUCUAUGGACCUACAUGCCUUUCAUCUCUGUUUCACAAGCAUAUCUUUCUUUGUAUCUGAUCAUUGAUUUCAACCAGAUUUGUUGUCUCCUGAAUUAACUACUUGACCUAUAAUUUUUGUGACUCACAUUUCAUUUAGCUAAUGGUUCUACUAACCAACAUGGACCCUCACGAAACAGACAUAGCUAUGCAGAAUCAUGAGCUUGGUUUUUCUUUGGCUAAUCUUGUCUCCAAGAAUAAUCUACUUGACAAGUUAUCAACUACUCAAUUUUAUAUUUAUGUAGAUGAUGUAACAGCAGCCUCUUGCAUUCUUCAUCAGUGUCAUACUACCUAGUCAUACCCACAUGAUCAUGUCUUCUCGCAGGAAGUUGUAUAGUCCACAAGUUGAAUUGCAGAUAUAAUUGAUUACCAAAUUGGGACCCUUAUUGAUCACAUAGAGCAGAAACAUAAGCAUGUGUUGUGUCUGGUUAGGUUGCUCAGGAGCUUGUCACAAAAGCCUGUCUACACCUAAUAACCCUUCUAUAUAAUGCAACAAUGCUUAUAGCAUUUUUCAUCAAUAACAACUUGCAUCAACUCAAAGAGUUCUGCAACACAACAAACAAAUAGUACCUUUUUUUUUUGCAUUUCGAUCUCAGUAUUUGCAAGCUUUUCCCGGAAAAUGAUGAACACAAAGAAGAUCAUGAAGAUGGCCAAGAAAUGGCAACAAAGAGCAGCCUUGAGCAGGAAAAGAAUCUCAUUUCCAAGAUCAAUUACAUCUGCUAGCAGCUCAACCGCUGCAGAGAAGGGCUGUUUUGUGGUUUACACAGCUGAUAAACUCCGCUUUGCUUUUCCGAUAAGUUACCUGAGCAACUCUGUUUUCCAAGAGCUCUUGAAGAUCUCUGAAGAAGAGUUCGGCCUUUCAACCGGUGGACCAAUCACAUUGCCAUUCGAUUCGGUUUUCUUGGAGUAUCUCAUUAAAUUGAUUCAACAACGAAUGGAUGGAGAGAC
rnacentral:lncRNA from 1 species